CCUACGGGAGGCUGCAGUGAGGAAUAUUGGUCAAUGGGCGGGAGCCUGAACCAGCCAAGUCGCGUGAAGGAAGAAGGUACUUAGUAUUGUAAACUUCUUUUGUCGGGGAACAAAGGCGGAGACGCGUCUCCGGAUGAGUGUACCCGAAGAAAAAGCAUCGGCUAACUCCGUGCCAGCAGCCGCGGUAAUACGUAGGGGGCAAGCGUUAUCCGGAUUCACUGGGUGUAAAGGGAGCGUAGACGGCGGCGCAAGUCUGGAGUGAAAGCCCGGGGCCCAACCCCGGGACUGCUCUGGAAACUGCGGCGCUGGAGUACGGGAGGGGCAGGCGGAAUUCCUGGUGUAGCGGUGAAAUGCGUAGAUAUCAGGAGGAACACCGGCGGCGAAGGCGGCCUGCUGGACCGUGACUGACGUUGAGGCUCGAGAGCGUGGGGAGCAAACAGGAUUAGAUACCCUUGUAGUC
rnacentral:rRNA from 1 species